UACAGAGGUGGCAAGCGUUGUUCGGAAUUACUGGGCGUAAAGGGCUCGUAGGCGGCCAACUAAGUCAGACGUGAAAUCCCUCGGCUCAACCGGGGAACUGCGUCUGAUACUGGAUGGCUUGAAUCCGGGAGAGGGAUGCGGAAUUCCAGGUGUAGCGGUGAAAUGCGUAGAUAUCUGGAGGAACACCGGUGGCGAAGGCGGCAUCCUGGACCGGUAUUGACGCUGAGGAGCGAAAGCCAGGGGAGCAAACGGG
rnacentral:rRNA from 1 species